rnacentral:tRNA from 1 species
UUACAGGGAGACCGCCCGCUGAAGCAAGGAUGAGGGAGGAAGUCGGGAGGAUGAAACAAGCCGACCGCCUGCUAGCCCAGACCAGAAAAUCCUUCUCAGACGGUCAACCCGGUCGGUCGGAGAGAAUGGUGGCUGGCUUUCAAACUAGUUCAGGUCGGGAAUGGGCUAUUAGCUCAGGUGGUUAGAGCGCACCCCUGAUAAGGGUGAGGUCCCUGGUUCGAGUCCAGGAUGGCCCACCUUAACGCGGGGGUUUAGCUCAGUUGGUAGAGCGCCUGCUUUGCAAGCAGGAUGUCAGCGGUUCGAGUCCGCUAACCUCCACUGAGCAAGGACGUGAUUCAGCACCUCGUCUGGGUUUAGUCACCCUAGACAAGCGAGUCUGCUGGAGCAUGCUCCAGCCAAGGGAACCUUGAAAACUGCAUAGUCAAUAGUMAGGUAGAACGUGGUUGUUGAGUUUAGCUCAACAACAGCACAGACACCAAUGUAAUAGUGUGGUCAAGCUAAUGAGGGCUGAUGGUGGAUACC